ACAAAAAUAAAACAAAUCACCCUUAUCAACAACUUUAUCCAUUUUUCCACAACCUUAACAGAUUUUUGCAAAUCAAUCAUCAUAUUUGUUACACCUCUGAUUUCUUCUGUCUUUGACAAACACUCAUGCUUUUCUCCCCCCUUCAGAUUCGUAUAGCUUUUUUCAAUACCAUCAUCACAACACCAUUUGAAGAAAUUGCAACCACUGUUUUAAUGUCUGUUCUAUAAAAAAAAAAACCCCAAUUACAAUGACUUUCUAGUAACACAAACAACUACUUAUCCACAUUCUUUUACCUUGUACUUAGGGCACCCUCAAAAUUGUUUCCCUCUGUUCUUAGCAAUUCGAGCUGUUCUGACGACUAUUUUCUCUCCACACAGGCAAAGGGGUGACACCACAGAAAACGACAUUAGGGUUUCCAUUCCGUCAGUCAUUGCAUGUUGAAGAAGAACAAGAAUGUGAAUUUUGCAUUUCAUUAUCCAUCGCGCUUCCAAUCGAAGAAGAUCACACUUUUGUUUUCUCCCACGAACCCUAAACCUCAACUUUCCCCAAUUUUAUUUCGAUUUCGCAGUUGCAGAAGAGAAUGGGGCUUUCAGCACUUAAUUUUAUUUCAUUU
rnacentral:lncRNA from 1 species